GAGAACAUCCGACAGAAAGUAUCUCCGAGUCCCGCCAUGGAUGGCGGUAAUAGGAGUAACGGCUGGUUGGCACAGCCAUCGACGUUCUUGUUUGACAAGGAAACUGGCGCGUUCGCGCCUCAAGAACGGGCCACGUCAUAAACCACAAUAUCCCAAUCCAGCGGUACGGUGCCGUGGGAAUCCUCGCGCUUCAGCGCGGGGAGGAUGUCAAUGACGCCGAUC
rnacentral:ncRNA from 1 species